rnacentral:rRNA from 1 species
UACGUAGGGUGCGAGCGUUAAUCGGAAUUACUGGGCGUAAAGCGUGCGCAGGCGGUCUGUUAAGACAGAUGUGAAAUCCCCGGGCUUAACCUGGGAAUGGCAUUGAGGACUGUGGAGCUAGAGUGCGGCAGAGGGAGGUGGAAUUCCACGUGUAGCAGUGAAAUGCGUAGAGAUGUGGAGGAACACCGAUGGCGAAGGCGAGCCUCCUGGGCCGACAC